rnacentral:lncRNA from 1 species
CAACCGCCGCGCGCGCUGAGGCCGCCGGCGCCAACGGYCGCCUCCAGCGGCCGCGGGAGCACCUCGUGGGAGGGGGCCGAAGGCCGCUGUUUCUGCGCUGUCUUCCCGGCUCUCCGAGUCUUCCCGGCGUCCCUCUCUGCCUCAGGCCUUCCGUGCAGUGCAGCCUGGUGCUUUAGGACGGUCUCCUCAGAGGUGGGAGAUAAGGAGCAGAGUCAUGAUUUUUAGCCUUUGGGACCAGCUGCACUCCACUAUUUCCUUUUUACAGGAAGUGAAAGCACAAAUUAGAUUUGUGCAGGAUUGUUGCCUACCUGUCCUGAGGAGUGUACACCUGUUAGAGAGCAGUGGGCAUAAUCUACAACAAGGAAGAAAGUCACAGACAAAGAGUAAACUCUAAACAUAAGGCUGCCUGAGUCCUGUCCUGAAACUCCUCCAGCUUUCCAGAUAUGAGAAACAUUAACCACAAG